AUUCAUUCCUGUUAUCAUACCAGAUUCAUUCCUGUUAUCAUACCAACAAGGUCCCAAGACCCAAUGAAAUACAAAAUGGCAUCUUUUAAGGCCCUUUUCCAUAGGCUACAUAAACAUUGUAUGAGGCAAGAGGACAGAGAGAAAGAAUAUAGCUAUAUGAUCAUCCAAGGACAGAAAUACAGUUAUAUUUAUAACACUGUGAAGGCCAUAUAUAAUAAAGUUGUUAAAUCAAUGACCAGUCCCCUUAUGAUAUCAGACCACAAGAUAAUACUCAGCCCAGCCAGGAUCAAUGUAUGUAUCCUCUUAUAUAUGACCUGGUAGUAGACAGAUUGUAAAAAAAGUGCCAAAGAACAACUCAUGCAGGCGUCUAUAAAAGAAAUAAUACCAUCUUUGCAA
rnacentral:lncRNA from 1 species